UGGGGAAUAUUGGACAAUGGGCGCAAGCCUGAUCCAGCCAUGCCGCGUGUGUGAAGAAGGCCUUUUGGUUGUAAAGCACUUUAAGCGAGGAGGAGGCUACUUGGAUUAAUACUCUAAGAUAGUGGACGUUACUCGCAGAAUAAGCACCGGCUAACUCUGUGCCAGCAGCCGCGGUAAUACAGAGGGUGCGAGCGUUAAUCGGAUUUACUGGGCGUAAAGCGUGCGUAGGCGGCCUCUUAAGUCGGAUGUGAAAUCCCUGAGCUUAACUUAGGAAUUGCAUUCGAUACUGGGAAGCUAGAGUAUGGGAGAGGAUGGUAGAAUUCCAGGUGUAGCGGUGAAAUGCGUAGAGAUCUGGAGGAAUACCGAUGGCGAAGGCAGCCAUCUGGCCUAAUACUGACGCUGAGGUACGAAAGCAUGGGGAGCAAACAGG
rnacentral:rRNA from 1 species